AGCGAACGCUGGCGGCAUGCUUAACACAUGCAAGUCGCACGGUCGGGGCAACCCGGCAGUGGCGGACGGGUGAGUAACGCGUAGGUAUCUAUCCUUGGGGUGGGGACGAACCGUGGAAACUACGGCUAAUACCGCAUGAUGUCUGAGGACCAAAGGCGCAAGUCGCCUGGGGAGGAGCCUGCGUACGAUUAGCUAGUUGGUGGGGUAAAGGCCUACCAAGGCGACGA
rnacentral:rRNA from 1 species